rnacentral:rRNA from 1 species
GACGAACGCUGGCGGCGUGCUUAACACAUGCAAGUCGUACGGAGUGGCGAACGGGUGAGUAACACGUGGGUGACCUGCCUUGCACUUCGGGAUAAGCUUGGGAAACUGGGUCUAAUACCGGAUAGUGCAAGAUGAGCUCGCGGCCUAUCAGCUUGUGGGUGGGGUAAUGGCCUACCUAGGCGUCGACGGGUAGCCGGCCUGGGAGGGGGUACGGGAGCAUGGGGACUGGGGUACGGCCCGGAAUCCUACGGGGGGCAGGAGUGGGGAAGAUUGCACAAUGGGGGGAGGCCAGAUGCAGGGACGCCGGGUGGGGGAUGGAGGGCUUCGGGUUGUAAACUCCUUUCGACAGGGACGCGGUACCUGUAUAAGAAGCGCCGGCUAACUACGUGCCAGCCGCCGCGGUAAUAC